GCGCUCCACCAAUCCUUCGCACGCCUCCUCCUCUCCCAAAUCCCCAAUCCCGUCGCUCGGUUCCUCCUCCCCAAUCCCAGGCCUCGCACGGCGCCCCAUUCCCCGACGCUCCUCUCCAUCGGCGGCAUCCUCUGCUUCGCGCCGCCACCCCGUCGUCAUCGCUAGGGCCGCCUCCCCUUCCCGCCCCUUCCUUCCUCAGCCGCGCGUCGUCGUCCCCACCCCGACGCUCGCCGUCAUAGCCUUCUUCGUCGAGUCAGCGCUCGAGGACGCGGAGCAGAAGCCCUCCACAGGGGCACUCUUUUGCUUUCCAUUGUCUGCCUAAUCACCUUACUCCAUCCUUGACCAGGAGAAGCACAAGACACCGCCUCUUCUCCCCCACCAUACCCCAACAAUAUGCCCCCAAUCCCAUGUUGUUCCUCGUUUUUUCACCGUCGGCUGGAUGCCUAGGAGGAAGGAGGACUGGUGGCCUGGCUUCAACGGGAUUAGAAGGAGGCGGAUUUUGGCAUGGCCCGUACAAUCGCCAAGAUGGCGCCGAUCGCCGGAGUUGCUGUUCGUUCUAUCUCCCCAGGUGAGCUCUUCCUUCUCGUUCCUUCCUCCCAAUUUCAGUUCCUCUUCCCAUAGAGAAGAAGGAGGCUCUGCCAAGCCAUGGACUUGCUGCCACCAACCCUCACCGGCCUCCUCCCUCCUCUCCCUACACCCUCGUGAGCUUUCCCUUUUUUAUUUUGAUUUACUCUCAUGGUCACCUCCCUUUCAGUUUGUUGCCUGCCAACUGUUUGUUGUUAUGCCCGUGCAAGUUGUCUUUUCAUAUAUUUGUUGGUAUACCCAUGUAGGCCUGUAUACUCCUAGUCAUGUUGAAGAUUGAGGGUUUGUGUAGCUUCUAGGCCAAGAAGCCGAGAGGGGUUUUCUUCUUUGAGUCGCCGGAACCAAGCGACAACGUGCUGCAGACUUUCUGGUCUUCUAUACAAGAGAAAUCAAAUGAAUAUGUUUAGUUUCUAAACUUUUCUUCAUUUUUAAAUAGAACUGCUUACUUAGACGCCGAUAUAUUUCUUUACAUGAAUCGGCACUAUGCUCUUAUGCUUUUAGUUAUACAUAUUUUUUUUGUUGGUCAGGUUUUCAAGUUUCAACCAUUCUUACUUUGAAAUGAUUCUUUAGUUAGUUAUAAAUAUAGAAAAUUUGAUGCCUGGUAUACAUAUUUUUUAUGGUAUAUUGUGUCAGUUAAGGGAUCUCUUAUUUUUCUUGGUGUGCUACAUAGGUAUAUGUAGAUUUACUUUGUUCCAGUGCCUGCUUUUGAUCACAGGAAACUAAAAAGACAAAAGAUACUUCACAUGCAACAUCUUAUACUAUUUGAAGUUAUUUUGCAGACAUCGUUAGAUAUUUUUAUUCGCUGUUCUGUUUAGAUAAAUAACCAAUUAAAUGAUUUAAUAUACUUUUUUGUUUUUUGAACUGGGUAAAGAAAGUACGUUGCACUUUCUUAUAGUCUAUUGGCUGGCACUGCAAAUUUUUUUGUCUUCUAGAGCGACAUAGAACGUGAUAUGCUUCUUUAACUGUACAUGUUGUCUAUAUUUUGCCUCUUUAACACCCUCUUUUUCUAUCGAUCCUCAGAUGGUUCAGCUUCAAAAGCACCAAAAAUUUAUGUCAAUACAUGGCACUUCUUAUGUCUUGCCUACGUUUGAAGUGUUGGAGUUCUUAAAUUCUUGAUGAAGAGGAUUUUGGAGGUACGUGCCACCGGUGCUCGUGGCGCUUAAUUAACUGCAGCAGCAGAACUUGGAUUAUUAAUGCAGAUGAACCCUCUGUUUCAGAAAGCUAUGGUUGGCUUCCUUUUGCAUGAACAACAUUCACUAUCUUUUUCCAUGCAUCUAUCUGCUCAUGAUUGUAUAUUCCAGGGACAUGAGGAAACCUAUUCAGCAAUGGUUUGUUAGCUAAGCAUCUAAAUUCGCGCUAGAAAGCUAACGGAAACUUGCUGAAUGUCCAUCAGGUGUGAAAAUCAAAAGAACCUCUACAUAACAUAAUUUAUAGUGGUAUAAUAUAGAGGGGAGCUCAUGGAGCCACCUGGUAAAUCGGAAUUUACCGAUUGUAGGUCUCGCUUCCAAGUUCCAACAGAGGAGAGCUCAUGUGAUUUGACAAUGCCCAAAAACGUUUUAACAUUUUCCACAUGAUUUUUACUGCAUAAAGUUUAAAUCGGCGCGAACUUCACGGGAUCGUGCGCCAAGGCGCACAUCUAUCUCUAUGACAUUCUUUACAAGCAGUUUAUUGCAUAUUUUUGAAUUCAGAUUGUAUCUGAACCCGCAAGCAAUAUGUCCAUGCUUUUGAACCAGCAAGAUGUUGUUAGUGUUGCUUUUGGACCUGAAGCUUGCUCUGUAAUCUGUAGUAAUAAGGCAUUGCCAAAUUUAGCACUGCUUUUACUGUAGAGUUUUUCUUAACCUGGCUAUCAAAUUUCAGUGUGUUUCUGUAAGUAACAAUUAACAGUAGUAGUACCACUGUGUAAGUCACCAUAUUCUGUUGUAGGAUUACUGUUCUUAGACCAUCAUUUUAUCCAUGCAUCGGAUCUUGGCUUUAAGCGGUUUCAGUCACAGAGUACUCGAAGCCAAGAUCCGAUGCGGAUAUUUGUGGUGGCCUGAAGAUCCCCGUUGCAAUAAAAACCACAUCCUGUGGAAGUAAAGAAUCUGAUCAAAUCACCGUUUCAAUUCUUUUAGUAGCCUUUCAUAGUUUUAAGAAACUCUUCCAGUUGGAAAAGCAAAUGUUAAGUAAAUGAACUGGGACAGUUUUCUAUAGCAAACAUUAUGGGACCAAGUGCCAGAUUUUACAGUACAAGUCAACCAAUUUAAUAAGUAUGCAGCUCAAAACUUCAUAACUGUUGCUUUUGUAUCUUCUGUAAUCCUUCAUUGUGCAUGCCAGAUAUUCUCUUUUGUUAUUUUUAUCGGAUGGUUCUGUUGUAUUGUGCAUGCCAGAUUAUUUGUUAUGUAUGCCCGAGGUGAUGAGAAAAAAAAUCCAAGUAGGAUGCAUGGGAAAUGAAUUUAUUCGUGUGCUUUGUUGUCUACAUACUAAUUCGUUUAUUUCUGAAAUUUAGCUCUGUUUUGUGACCUGUCCAUGCAUGGUAUCAUCGAUAAUAUAUGAGUAAACUCUAGGGAAAAUAUGUUUGUGUUGGAUUGUUUUGAAGCUCAUGUUUCUGUUAAUUUUGUGAACAUUCAGACUUUUGUCCGAUGUUAUAUCUGAAUGUGUUUAUUUCAUAAGGUCUUGCUAUUUUCUGAAAUCAUUUGUCAGAUUUGAAGUCAGUGGUCUAAUUUCAUAUAUGUUUAUUGAAGAGAGACAAGUAAACAGAGCCAAGGAGAGAUGCCACCGAUUCGCACGUGUUGGAGCAUUUCUCGGAUGGCUUGACUAUGAAGUCCACAUUGUAGUGAUUUUCCCUUCAUGUAUUAUUGAAAAUUGACCUUAGUGAAUUGUAGCUUUGCAGAUGUGCUUACCAAAUCUGCAACAGGUAAUGAAUUUUACUUGGCAUAUAGAUUCUGCUUAUAGUAAGUAUUCUCCUCAUGAUUUUCUUAGUAUUUGACAUGAAGUUCAUGUUGAAAGAACUAAAGUGGUGAUUUUAAAUCCCUUCAAAAAGUGGUGAUUUUAAAGCAUAAGCUUUAAUUUUCAUCUGAUGCACUCAAACUGUGUUUGGUUCUCUACAUAGUUGUCGAAGCAUAUGAGGGGUGUGGUUAUAUAUAUAAGAAAUUGAUAGCAUAGUUUAUAGUUUUUUGCUUCUAUUGUUUGUUCUUUUUAUUUGAGGUAAUCUCUCCCUUUCCUCUCCUUGUUUUGUCAUGCUAGGUCUCCUAGGUCAGAGCCACGGUGCAGGAGCUCAGGUUUCGGUGGAGAGAUGAUACAGUGAUGAGAAGAUGUGCCCAGCAGCUAGCUAUAGUGGAGAAUUGAUUCGUUCGAUCUCCUCACCCCUGGCCUUCUACAGAGAAGGCGCUCUUGCUAACCCGCUGUUCCCUACCAAGGAAGCUCUCGGGAGGAUUGGUCGUGGUGCCACUUGGAUUCCUACUUUUUAAGUUCCUAUUUUUUUUAUCUUAAGUUCGUAUUAGAUGGUGUUUCUCACAUCUACCAUAUAGUGUCUGUUAUUCUGCAAGUACUCUGUACACAUAAAUAUCAGCAGACACAACCAGCCUCUUGAUAUGAAUUGCUCUGAUGAGCAUCUUAUGUGGCGGAUAAGACUCACUACAGUAGUACAUUUCUACUACAUUAUUGGUAUGGUAUAUAAGUUCAAUUGAAUGCUCCUUUCUAGGCCUUAACGACAACAAUCAAAUACCUGCAAAAUAGUUUUUCCAUAUGUGCAUUUCAAUGAUUAAUAUAUUCAGGCGCUCUCGCGAACCUGCUGUUCCCUUCCAGUAUUCCCUGUAGAAAGAAGAUUGUAGAGCUUUCUUGUAAAUCUUAACAAUUAAAGCCAUUUGCUAUAUAAAUGUAGAGAGCAUAUUUAUUACUGCAACAGGAAUACUAUACUGCUAACCUCUUGGUUUUAGCUGCAUAAGGUGUGAACUCAUUUUAGUCCUCAAAUACAUGCUCUUAUAAAGAAAACAAUCAGUUUAUAGCCUGCCAAUUUCUGACUCUGUUUGAUUUCUUAGCUGACACUCGUGUACGAAGUCGGUGCCCUACCGACAAAGGUGGUACAACUCUCACCAGAUGACCUUAGAGACGAGAGCACAAUAACAUACUGGAAGAUAUGACGCUAGAAGCACACAAAUAAGCUAACCUGGUGCAAGCUGUGAUUCCAUGACCCAUCCCCACUGUUACCCUGUUCCUGGAAUUGGCAAGGUGUUUUUGAAGUAUGCAGUCGCUUUCCUGCAGUCCUACACGCCUACCGACUCAUACAAGACAUAUGAUAUGUUGUGUUCUUUUGCUCCGCUUCGUCAACUAAUAAUUUUUGAAAUGGAUAAUUAUUCAAUUUUUAUUUAGUACUUGCUGAUGUUUCCAAAUGUAUAUAAAAUAAAUAUUGACACAAUCUUUACGGGUUCGUGCGCCAAGGCGCACAUCAAAAUCUAGUA